UGCUAAGCGGGGUGCCGCGUAUGGGAAGUUCGCAGAGUGGCUUACGGCUCGUUCAAGUACCUAUUGAAUAUAGUCCAAGUACCCAUAGAGGGUGUGAGGCCCGUACGACGAGUCGUAAGUGUCUCCCGCGUUCUUCUCGAGAGUCGGGUUGCUUGAAAAUGCAGCCCUAAGAGGUGGUAAACUCCAUCUAAGGCUAAAUACUACCACGAGACCGAUAGCGAACAAGUACCGCGAGGGAAAGUUGAAAAGAACUUUGAAGAGAGAGUUCAAUAGAGCGUGAAACUGCCACGAGGUUAAAGCGGAUGGACAGUCGUGGCUGAACUGGGGGAUUCAGCUCCCUGGACGUAAUGGAGGCCCUCGCAACGCGACGACCGACUCUUCGGCUUCUCUCGGUACUCGUUACCAGGUUGUCGGGGAGGUUCAAACUGGCGUUCGUAGCGAUGGGUAGUCUCCUCGUUAUAUGAUGGGAGCUGUACCUUUCACCUUAGUAGGCCGUCGCGGGCGUUGAGAGCGUUGUCGAUGCCCCUGAGCUCGGGAACCAACCCUCAAAGCCUUCGCCACUCCGGUGGCGCUGGCGAGUAGGGGUUGGGGACGGUCCAGGGUAUACGACGGACCUCACGACGAUCCAGAUAUGGGACGGGUCCGUAAUAUAUAUGAAUGAUCGGAGGUGGGACUUCGUUCGUGCUCCUCGCGAGCCGAUCGUGUCACCCCUCGGUUAAAACGUUCGGACCCGUGCGCGGCGCAUAUACGGCGCACGUCCAUCCGUCCCGUCUUGAAACACGGACCAAGGAGUCUAGCAAGUGCGCGAGUCAUAAGGGUCCACUAAACCUUAGAUGGCGUAACGAAAGUAAUGUGAAUCUGGUCGCGCGCCUCGCGCGCGCGUCUUGAUCACGGGUGUAUUGUCUUCUGGGCAUUAUUACCCUGUUGGACCGAUCCCCUCGGAAAUGUCUCGUCCUCCCCGUUUAUUCGAGGAGGCGUGGCCGCUGCCGAAUAAUGGGGGGCGCAGGUCCGGGGCCCGCCAUAUUAUCCUCUAGCUAAUUAAAAAAAGCUGAACGAUAGGCGGGUUCCAAGAGCGUUCGUGCUAGUACCCGAAAGAUGGUGAUCUAUGCCUGGCCAGGAUGAAGCCAGAGGAAACUCUGGUGGAGGUCCGUAGCGGUUCUGACGUGCAAAUCG
rnacentral:rRNA from 1 species